UAGGGAAUCUUCGGCAAUGGGGGGAACCCUGACCGAGCAACGCCGCGUGAGUGAAGAAGGUUUUCGGAUCGUAAAGCUCUGUUGUUAAGGAAGAACGAGUGUGAGAAUGGAAAGUUCAUGCUGUGACGGUACUUAACCAGAAAGGGACGGCUAACUACGUGCCAGCAGCCGCGGUAAUACGUAGGUCCCGAGCGUUGUCCGGAUUUAUUGGGCGUAAAGCGAGCGCAGGCGGUCAAUUAAGUCUGAUGUGAAAGCCCCCGGCUCAACCGGGGAGGGUCAUUGGAAACUGGUUGACUUGAGUGCAGAAGAGGAGAGUGGAAUUCCAUGUGUAGCGGUGGAAUGCGCAGAUAUCAGGAGGAACACCGGUGGCGAAGGCGGGUCUCUGGGCCGUUACUGACGCUGAGGAGCGAAAGCGUGGGGAGCGAACAGG
rnacentral:rRNA from 1 species